rnacentral:rRNA from 1 species
UGAGGAAUAUUGGUCAAUGGGCGAGAGCCUGAACCAGCCAUCCCGCGUGCAGGAUGACGGCCCUAUGGGUUGUAAACUGCUUUUCUGCUCCAAGAAACCCACCUACGUGUAGGUGGUUGACGGUAGAGUAGGAAUAAGCAUCGGCUAACUCCGUGCCAGCAGCCGCGGUAAUACGGAGGAUGCAAGCGUUAUCCGGAUUCAUUGGGUUUAAAGGGUGCGCAGGUGGGAAUGUAAGUCAGUGGUGAAAUACUGCCGCUUAACGGUAGAGCUGCCAUUGAUACUGCGUUUCUUGAGUAUGGUUGAGGUAGGUGGAAUGUGUUGUGUAGCGGUGAAAUGCAUAGAUAUGACACAGAACGCCGAUUGCGAAGGCAACUUACUAAGCCAUUACUGACGCUGAGGCACGAAAGCGUGGGUAGCGAACAGG